rnacentral:rRNA from 1 species
CCUACGGGUGGCUGCAGUGAGGAAUAUUGGUCAAUGGACGCAAGUCUGAACCAGCCAUGCCGCGUGCAGGAAGAAGGUGCUAUGCAUUGUAAACUGCUUUUAUACGGGGGUAAUUACAGAUACGUGUAUCUGGAUGAAAGUACCGUAUGAAUAAGGAUCGGCUAACUCCGUGCCAGCAGCCGCGGUAAUACGGAGGAUCCGAGCGUUAUCCGGUUUUAUUGGGUUUAAAGGGUGCGCAGGCGGCGUGUCAAGUCAGCGGUAAAAUGUCGGGGCUCAACCCCGGCCGGCCGUUGAAACUGGCGUGCUCGAGUUGGAGAGAAGUAUGCGGAAUUCGUGGUGUAGCGGUGAGAUGCAUAGAUAUCCCGAAGAACCCCGAUUGCGAAGGCAGCAUACCGGCUCCACACUGACGCUGAGGCACGAAAGCGUGGGUAUCGAACAGGAUUAGAUACCCGGGUAGUC